AGCGCCUGCCUUGUAAGCAGGAUGUCAGCGGUUCGAGUCCGUUAAUCGGCACCA
rnacentral:tRNA from 1 species